UAAUGAUUUAAGAGUUACUUUGAACGUUUGGCACUAGUUUGUUACGAACAUUGUGUUAAUUUGUGUUAUAAUGACGCGGGAUAAUUAUAGAAAUCUAUGUCACUCUUUGACUCUGCGGACGGUAAAUUGGUGUUUACGGAUUGUGGUUGGUUAUAUGGAUCAGUCGGUAGGUUUGUUAUUCUUUAUGGUAAUGUACAAAUCUGUUACAGCAUUACAUUGUUGCGUCGAUAUUUGUAUAAUGAAAACACCACUAAGUCAGUAAUAACAUAGGCAAAUGGGUACUUUUUUCAGUAACAUCUAACUUGCAAGAACUCUACGAAUUUUUUAAAUAAACCUGAAACAUUUCUCAGCAGCAUAAUAUCAUUAUGAGUAUACAGAGAAUAAGGUAUAUGUAACCCUCUGACGGUUAGUCAUUCAAAAACUGUGCCAAGUACGAUAGAACGAGACUGUGGACUGUGGACUAUGAUGAAUUAUUGACUGGACGUAUUUGUUCUACAUUUAAAAAUAUAGGAAAGAGAAUUGGUUGUGUAAAGUUUUAAACGAGCUGUGUAUACAUUUGUAAAAAUGACCGUGUAUAGUUAGCCGCGUAAAGUUAGCCGUAUAGUUUUCCGUGUGGAAUUAUUAUUUUACUAUAACGUAUCGUGUAAAGUUUUUCCUUAGAAAAUGCGCUUUUCAGAAAGUGUAGGUAGCGCGGAACAAACCUAUUGUGAGUACUGAAAGACUUUUAUGAUAGUUCUGCUUUAACGAUUUGUAUAACAGGUUUGAUGUGGCAGUUUUAUUGUAUAAAGUAUAAAAUGUAGGACCAGUGUGUGGGUUAAGUGAAUGUUACAUGUAUCAUUCUUUAUGACUGUGUGGAGUUUGCCAAUUGGACAUGCAGUAGAUUAUACCUUACACUCGGCACAAUAAAUAUCAGUUGAUAGUAAAUGUAAUUAAUUUUCCGAUUAACGCUUACAAUGCUUUCCAUUUAUAAUCCUUUCAUUCACUUGGUAUAUGUCACUUUAAGUUAACAAACUUUUGAUUAGAAUAUUUACAUGGUAGCUGUCAAUCUUAUUUUUGUGAGGUGCUUCAAACAGACUAUACAGUAGUGUCUGAAUUUGGGGAGUUUCAAAAGUUCUAAAAGAUUGUAUUAAAGAAAAUUAAGAAAAUGGAAGAAAGUAUAAGAGAUAUGCACCAUAUUUCUAUUUCUUAACAAAUAAAAUAAUUUUUAUUCAGCUUUUGCGCAAUGGCGAUACAAAAAUGAAGCAUUGUCGAUUGUAGAAUCCCUUGUAUUUCCUGAUUCUUAAGUAAUUUUUUUUCUUGCCA